GACGAACGCUGGCGGCGUGCUUAAUACAUGCAAGUCGAACGGACAGGUCCUGAUCUUGCUGCGUGCUCGUGUGGCGAACGGGUGUGUAACACGCGAGUAACAUGUCCCUGUCUUAGGGAUAUAACUCCGGGACUGGGGCUAAUACCGCAUAUGAGCUUUUGCACCACGGUGGGGUUAGGAGAGUUUCGGCGGUUGUGGAUGGAAUCGCGGCUUACCCGCUAGUUGGUGGAGUAGUGGCUUACCAAGGUUUUGACGGAUAGCCGGCCUGAGAGGGGUGCCAGCCACAUUGGGACUGAGAGACGGCCCAGUCGGCUACGGGACGCAGCAGUCGGGAAUAUGGCGGAAUGGGCGGGAGUCAGAGACGGCAGCGCCGCGAGCGGGAUGACGGCCUUCGAGUGGUGAACCACUGUCUCCGGUGACGAGGCGUGAGUGACGGUAAUGAAUAAGGAAGCACCGGCUAACUACGUG
rnacentral:rRNA from 1 species